UACGUAGGGGGCUAGCGUUGUCCGGAAUCAUUGGGCGUAAAGAGCGUGUAGGCGGUCCGGUAAGUCCGCUGUGAAAGUCGGGGGCUCAACCCUCGAAUGCCGGUGGAUACUGUCGGGCUAGAGUGCGGAAGAGGCGAGUGGAAUUCCAGGUGUAGCGGUGAAAUGCGUAGAUAUCUGGAGGAACACCGGUGGCGAAGGCGGGUCUCUGGGCCGUAACUGACGCUGAGGAGCGAAAGCGUGGGGAGCAAACAGG
rnacentral:rRNA from 1 species